rnacentral:tRNA from 1 species
GCAUCCGUAGCUCAGCUGGAUAGAGUACUCGGCUACGAACCGAGCGGUCGGAGGUUCGAAUCCGGAUAGAGUACUCGGCUACGAACCGAGCGGUCGGAGGUUCGAAUCCUCCCGGAUGCACCA